GGCCCGCGGCCCAUUAGCUUGUUGGUGAGGUAACGGCUCACCAAGGCAACGAUCUGUAGCUGGUCUGAGAGGACGAUCAGCCACACUGGAACUGAGACACGGUCCAGACUCCUACGGGAGGCAGCAGUGGGGAAUUUUGGACAAUGGGGGCAACCCUGAUCCAGCCAUGCCGCGUGAGUGAAGAAGGCCUUCGGGUUGUAAAGCUCUUUCGGCCGGGAAGAAAUCGCAUGGGUUAAUACCCUGUGCGGAUGACGGUACCGGCAUAAGAAGCACCGGCUAACUACGUGCCAGCAGCCGCGGUAAUACGUAGGGUGCGAGCGUUAAUCGGAAUUACUGGGCGUAAAGCGUGCGCAGGCGGUUUGUUAAGAUAGGCGUGAAAUCCCCGGGCUCAACCUGGGAACUGCGCUUAUGACUGGCAAGCUAGAGUACGGCAGAGGGGGGUGGAAUUCCACGUGUAGCAGUGAAAUGCGUAGAGAUGUGGAGGAACACCAAUGGCGAAGGCAGCCCCCUGGGUCGAUACUGACGCUCAUGCACGAAAGCGUGGGUAGCAAACAGGAUUAGAUACCCUGGUAGUCCACGCCCUAAACGAUGUCAACUAGGUGUUGGAUGGGUAAAACCAUUUAGUACCGGAGCUAACGCGUGAAGUUGACCGCCUGGGGAGUACGGCCGCAAGGUUAAAACUCAAAGGAAUUGACGGGGACCCGCACAAGCGGUGGAUGAUGUGGAUUAAUUCGAUGCA
rnacentral:rRNA from 1 species